CACCCCCGCCCCGGCCCCGCCCGCUCCCGAGCUCGCGGCUCUCCCGCUCUCGCGCCGCCGCGGCUGUUAGCUCUGCCUCACUCCAAGAUGGCGGAGGGCGGUGAGGGCCUGGCGGCCGUCCCUGAACACGAGCGGAUCCUGCAGGAGAUAGAGAGCACCGACACCGCCUGCGUGGGGCCCACUCUUCGAUCUGUAUAUGAUGACCAACCAAAUGCACAUCAGAAAUUCAUGGAAAAACUAGAUGCUUGUAUUCGCAAUCAUGAUAAAGAAAUUGAAAAAAUGUGUAAUUUUCAUCAUCAAGGUUUUGUAGAUGCUAUUACAGAACUCCUUAAAGUAAGAACUGAUGCGGAAAAACUUAAGGUCCAAGUUACUGAUACCAACUGCAAGCUUCAAGAUGCUGGAAAAGAGGUGAUAGCUCAAACAGAAGACAUCAUUCGAUGUAGAAUUCAGCAGAGAAAUAUUACAACUGUAAUAGAAAAAUUGCAAUGUUGUCUUCCAGUCUUGGAAAUGUACAGUAAACUAAAAGAACAAAUGAAUGCAAAAAGGUACUACGCUGCUCUAAAAACUAUGGAACAAUUAGAAAACAUAUAUUUUCCUCGGGUUAGUCAGUACCGGUUUUGUCAGAUAAUGAUAGAAAAUCUUCCAAAACUCAGGGAAGAUAUAAAAGAAAUCUCCAUGUCUGAUCUCAAAGACUUUUUAGAAAGUAUUCGAAAACAUUCCAAUAAAAUAGGUGAAACAGCAAUGAAACAGGCUCAGCAACAGAAAAUCUUUAAUGUUGUUCUACAGAAGCAAAAUAAUACAAAUAUGAGCAGAACUAUGUAUAUAACUAAUGGAAAAAUUCCAGAAGAAAGUAAUGAAGUAAAAUCAACAUAUGCUUUUGAGGAAGAAGAUGAGAAUGAGGAGGAGGUAUUAAGUGUGCAGGAUCUUGUUGAUUUUUCACCUGUUUAUAGGUGUUUGCAUAUUUAUUCAUUUUUGGGUGAUGAAGAGACAUUUGAAAGUUAUUAUCGAAAACAAAGAAAGAAACAAGCAAGAUUAGUAUUGCAACCCCAGCCAAAUAUGCAUGAAACAGUUGAUGGUUAUAGAAGAUAUUUCAGUCAAAUUGUAGGGUUCUUUGUUGUUGAGGAUCACAUUUUGCAUGUGACACAAGGAUUAGUGACCAAAGCAUAUACUGAUGAACUUUGGAAUAUGGCACUUUCAAAGAUAAUUGCUGUUCUUAGAGCUCAUUCAUCUUAUUGCACUGAUCCUGACCUUGUUUUGGAACUGAAGAAUCUUAUUGUUGUGUUUGCAGAUACUUUGCAGGGUUAUAGUUUUCCAGUGAAUCGACUAUUUGAUUUGUUAUUCGAAAUAAGAGAUCAGUACAAUGAAACACUGCUGAAGAAGUGGGCUGGAGUUUUUCGGGAAAUUUUUGAAGAAGAUAAUUGUAGUCCCAUUCCAGUAGCAAAUGAAGAAGAAUACAAAAUAAUCAUUAGUAAGUUUCCCUUUCAAGAUCCAGACCUUGAAAAGCACUCUUUCCCAAAGAAAUUCCCAAUGUCUCAAUCAGUGCCUCAUAUUUAUAUUCAAGUUAAAGAAUUUAUUUAUGCAAGCCUUAAAUUUUCAGAGUCACUUCAUCGGAGUUCAACAGAAAUUGAUGACAUGCUUAGAAAAUCAACAAAUCUGCUGCUGACAAGAACUUUGAAUAGCUGUUUACAGAACCUUAUUAAAAAGCCUCACAUAGGUCUGACAGAGCUAGUGCAAAUCAUCAUAAACACAACACACCUGGAACAAGCCUGUAAAUACCUUGAAGACUUUAUAACUAACAUAACAAAUAUUUCUCAAGAAACAGUUCAUACUACAAGACUUUAUGGACUUUCUACAUUUAAGGAUGCCAGACAUUCAGCUGAAGGCGAAAUAUAUACUAAACUCAACCAAAAAAUUGAUGAAUUUGUUCAGCUUGCUGACUAUGACUGGACAAUGUCUGAGCCAGAUGGAAGAGCCAGUGGAUAUUUAAUGGAUCUUAUUAAUUUCUUACGAAGCACCUUUCAAGUGUUUACUCAUUUGCCUAAUAACAACAAUGACCAUGCAGCUAUGUUGGGAAAAGUUGCCCAGACAGCUUGCAUGUCAGCCUGCCAGCAUCUGUCAACAUCCUUAAUGCAGAUGUUAUUGGACAGUGAGUUAAAACAGAUAAGCAUGGGAGCUGUUCAGCAAUUUAACUUAGAUGUCAUACAAUGUGAAUUGUUUGCUAGCUCUGAGCCUGUGCCAGGAUUCCAAGGGGAUACCCUGCAGUUAGCAUUCAUUGACCUGAGACAAGAGACAUACUAUCCGAUGAGGGGAUGGCAAGGUAAUGGAUGCUGUACUAGACUACACGAGGGGAAAAGUAAUAGAAAUAUUUGAAGAGAUUACAAUUUGGGUGGAAAGUCAAAAUUUGUGUAUAUAAAUUAUACAUAAUUUAUGUAUACAUAUACAUAUGCAAAUACAUAUAUAUAAUACAAAUGUAUACAAUACAUAUACAAAAUUUGUAUACAUAACUUGUAUAUAUAAAACAAGUCAAGCUUAUGCACUAAUCUUCAUAUUAAUAUGUAACUCAAAUUACACAUUACAUAGGAAUUCCCUAAGGUACAUAUUCUUGCCCAGGUCCAUGUGAACAAGGUAGUUUUGCACCUAGGAUCUAUAUUUAUAGAAUCCCUGCUUAAACAAUGUUAGGCUAUAAUUUUACUCCUGAAUAAAACUAGAAUCACUUGAUUUAUCAUUUAAAGUUUUGUAUAUAAAUCUAAUGACAUAUUAACACAUGAAAAUGCUUUAUAUCUAAGAGUUAAAAGCCAUUUUGGUCUCCUGUGUAUUUGUUUGGUCUGGCUUAUGAAUUAAACACAAUAGAGAACUCCCAAUUUUUUUCCUCAAUUACAUGCAAACAAAAAUGUUUAACAUUAUUAAAAAAAAAAUUUUGAGUUCCAUAUUCUCUUCUUCCUUUUCCACAGUUCUUCCUUCCUUGAAAAGACAAGCACUUUGAUAUAUAUUAUACAUAUGCAAUUAUGUAAAACCAAAUUAGUAAACUCCUAGUGAAGAAUUUCUCUCCACCAAUGCAUAUUACUUGCUCUGCAACUUAGAGUUUUAGAUAAUGACAGUAAUAUCCAGCACUAAUAUAAGACUUUGAGGUUUGCGAAACAUUCUCCUGACAUAAGUUGAUAUACUUUUUUGAAGUAGAUGCUGUCAUCCUCUUUUACACAGGAAAUGAAGAGAAAUUGAAUGACAUUGCCCCAAGUCACACUGAUAUUUACUGUCUCAACAAAAUAUGAACUCAGAUCUUACAGCAUUUUAUCUGCUGAAACCUGGGACUCAAGAUUGGCCAUCUUCCAGUGUUACACAGUCAAUAUUGUUCAAGGGAAGGCUUGAACUCAAAUCUUCUUAAUUCCAGACAAUAUUUGUCUGCUGUGUACCAUGAUGCCUUUUUUUUCCACAAAUAUUUUGACAGCUUGUAAUUUUUCUUUAAAAAAACCAAUAGCUAGCAUUUAUAUAGGACUUUCAAGUUUAUAAAACACUUUACACAUUAUCUCAGUUAAUCCUCUGGGAAAUAGGUUCUGUUUUAUAUCUCCAUUUUACAGAUGAAGAAACUGAGAUAGAAGAUAAGUGACUUGCCUAGCUUUACAUAGUUAAGAAAUACUUGAAUCUGGGAUUUGAACUUGGGUCUUUUUAAUUCCAAUUCCACUGCUCUGUGCAUUACAGUACAACUUCUCAUUAUUUUUGUUUUCUAAUCUAUACAAAAUCUUGAUGAGAAUCAUCUACACAAGUAUCAAAAGUGAAGGCAUGUGCAAGUGAAGUGAAACUUUUGUAAGUGACAUUCUGCAGAAGACACAGUGCCAUCCAUGUGGCUGAAAGCUUCUUGACCUCUUUAUGGUUUGGGACUGGUCUACUUACCUAGCAGAUUAUGGACAACCAGCCUCUAAAUACCUUCGAGUAAAUCCAAAUACAGCCC